AUGCUGGACUGGAUUAAGUGCCUGAUAAGGAUGUGGUUUCAGCGAGUUGGGGUCAGCAUGCAGUCGGUACUACGGUCUGGAAAACUAUAUGGUUUAUCUCAAAACAUCGUAAGGAAAAUUGGUACCAACUUAUCUCUGAUUCAGUGUCCAAGAGUUCAAUUUCAGCUUACCAGCCAUGCAACAGAAUGGAGUCCCACACACUCAGGAGAGGAAGCCGUGGUAUCUUUUGCUGAUGUUAGAUGGGUAGCCACCAAAGAAGAAGAGUGCUCAACAAGACUCAGGGCAGAGGUCAAGUAGCUACUGAAGAAGGAGAGUGCUCAACGAGACUCAGGGCAGAGGUCAGGUCCAAGCCUCCUCUUGAGGAUGACCCACCUUGCUUUGAGAAGCCCCCAAGCAGGCACAUUUCCUUACCAAACCUGUCUCAAGACAAGCCUUCUCCAGAUAUGACGCUGGCCAGUGAGGAGGCCCUGCAGAAGAAUGAGCUUGCUGCCCUUAGAGCUCAAGAUUGUGACCCUGUAGGAGCAACAGAAUCCAAGU
rnacentral:lncRNA from 1 species